CAGUCGCCGCGGUAAUACGGAGGGUGCAAGCGUUAAUCGGAAUUACUGGGCGUAAAGCGCACGCAGGCGGUUUGUUAAGUCUGAUGUGAAAGCCCCCGGCUCAACCGGGGAGGGUCAUUGGAAACUGGGAAACUUGAGUGCAGAAGAGGAGAGUGGAAUUCCACGUGUAGCGGUGAAAUGCGUAGAGAUGUGGAGGAACACCAGUGGCGAAGGCGACUCUCUGGUCUGUAACUGACGCUGAGGAGCGAAAGCGUGGGGAGCAAACAGGAUUAGAUACCCCCGUAGUCCCUGUCUCUUAUAC
rnacentral:rRNA from 1 species